UUUUAGCCCUGAUGGAAAUGGCAUCCUUUUUAUAGCCUUUUAAAUAAGCAUCAUUACCAGGUAAGGAGAUUGCCACAGUUUACAAAAAAGUAAACUUCUCAAUGACAGCUAUAAAAAGAUAUAAUGAACAGCAGGAAAUAGC
rnacentral:sRNA from 1 species